rnacentral:rRNA from 1 species
AGAGUUUGAUCCUGGCUCAGAUUGAACGCUGGCGGCAUGCUUUACCAUGCAAGUCGAGCGAGAACCAGUCCUUCGGGGCUGGGGACAGCGGCGAACGGGUGAGUAACACGUGAGUAAUCCACCCUCGGUACCGGAAUAGCCCGGGGAAACCCGGAUUAAUGCCGGAUGGCCCAUCUGUUCUUCGGAAUUUGAUGGAAAAGGUAGCUUCGGCCUCCGACCGGGGACGAGCUCGCGGCGGAUUAGCUUGUUGGCGGGGUAAAGGCCCACCAAGGCGACGAUCCGUAGCUGGUCUGAGAGGACGAUCAGCCACACUGGGACUGAGACACGGCCCAGACUCCUACGGGAGGCAGCAGUGGGGAAUCUUGCGCAAUGGGCGAAAGCCUGACGCAGCGACGCCGCGUGAGGGAAGAAGGCCUUCGGGUUGUAAACCUCUUUCAGGAGGGACGAAGCCACUCGGGUGAAUAGCCCAGAGGGUGACGGUACCUCCAGAAGAAGCCCCGGCUAACUACGUGCCAGCAGCCGCGGUAAUACGUAGGGGGCAAGCGUUGUCCGGAUUUAUUGGGCGUAAAGAGCGUGUAGGCGGCUUCACAGGUCCGCUGUGAAAACUCGAGGCUCAACCUCGAGCUGUCGGUGGAAACCGUGUGGCUUGAGUCCCGGAGAGGGUAGCGGAAUU